AAGAUUCCUUUUUUUUUCUUUCUUUCUUUCUUUUCUUUUUUUCUUUUUUCUUUUUUCUUUUUUUUUCUCUCUUUUUUUUUUUUUUUGACUCCUAGAAAGUGAGCCAGCUGAUAGUGGUUGUCACUUACCACCCAGAGUCAGUUGUGAUGGUUUGGUGUCCAAGUCUUGGACAGUCAAGGACUUCUCUGUGGCCAGUUAUGGCCUGUGUUCUGAUAUGGAGUCUGAUUUAAGAACUGAAACAUAAUCUCUGUAUUUCAAGGUCUCUAGUAUUUGACUGUGUAUAUUCUGUCUUUAAGUUUUUCAUAGUACUAUACAGCAGGCCCCUCCUCCAUGCCUGUACUGAGGAUGGUUCUUUAUUCAGUCAUUUGGUGACACGGUUUCUAUCCUACCACACCCUAACAGACACACAGUAUCAGAGAUUGUAAUGCAGGAGUGGACCUGGAAGCAUGAUUUUCCUGAAACCAGCAGCCUGUUUUCUCUGAGUGAAACCAUGAGUACAGAGCCCUGAUCAGGAUAUCUCUGACUGGUUUGGAGGAAGUUCCUUAUGAGAUUAGAUAGAGUAGGUAGCAGACUUGGGACUCUGUCCUCCUACUCCUCAGAUCUAAUAGUGAUUUCUUGGCCAAAGGAGUCUCUGUCUUCUUAGCAUCCCAGAAGAUAACCUGGCUGAGUUUUCUCAGAUCUUUCAGAGUGGAUGAUUACAUUGUUUGUCAGGGCUAGGAUCAUGUCUCUGUGCUAAGAUUUGCUCGUAUAAAUCACUCUGUCUCAACCGGGAGCUGUUGAACCACUACCAUAAUCUUUGUUUUCUUUCCCUACUCCCAUGUGUACAGGAGUCUUGAUGGAGAAAUACUUCAGUGUUUUACCAUAAUUGUAUCCAGAAAGUUGUUUCCAGGUACUCAUCACAGCUCCAGCCCCAUUAGCAUACUUACUCUCCAGGCUGGUCACAUGGACUACACAAGGGUUUGUUCCUGGUGGACCAAGCAUGCUAAUGAUGCUGAUCGGCAUGCGUAGGUGCUGAUACCUUUAAGGGUAGCAAGGCAACCAUUCCAAACAGGCCUCGUGUGGGAAUGAUUCUAGUCUAGCCUAGAGCUGUUUUCUUUUAUUUCUGUAGCUGAAGUGUUCGUUCUGCCUUGCAGAACUUCUGCUUGCUGUCGUUCUCCUGAAUACAGGAAACACACACCCUGGAGAACAUGAUACCUGCUUCCUAGAUAAAAGACCCAACCUUUCGAUACAUGUGCCAGUGGCUCUCUACAACACUCAGCAGCCAUCAUGGCUUUUAGUUAUACACCUGCUGUUAGCAAGUUGCUUCAUGUGGAAAGUGGGAAUGAGUCUCCUAAGCAGGGCCUCUGUUAGUUCUGGGUUGCAAAGGAAGGGGACACCUUGUAUGUAUUCUAGGACAUGCUAAUUUUUUUUAGGUAUCAAGUUUUUUUCUAUGUAAUCUCAUUUUCUAUACUAUACAAAUUGUAUGCCUGAGUGAAGAUGUGAGUGAUUCCUUGUGACUUUGAAAGAAAGAGGGGAGACAUGGAGGUCAGCAAGGCAGAAGCUCAGGGACCUGGGACCCGGAGGACAUGCGCGUGCUCUUCCUGGGUGCUUCAGGUAUCCAUGCCAACACUUUGCUGCUUGGUAUUCCCUGUAUCCCUUACUCUCACCACGUUUCUCUGUCUUUGUGGGCAACACAGGCUUCUCUUGUGGAAAAGCUCACAGUUAGUAAGGUACUUUUGCUCCAAAGAGAAGAUAUAACAUUCACAAAGUAUGUUUAGGUGCCUGUCUUUUAAAUAUUCUUCCCUUUGUAGUAGAAAUCACUGGGGAUUAUUGCGUGGCAGAAAUCCUUGGUGUUCUUCAAGUUCAGGUUCAUUGCCUGCUGUCUAUUAUAGGCAACUGAGGUAAGGUUUGUGGGUUCUGCAGGUAGGUUCUGCUGUCUCAGCGGUCAAGUAGGCUGGCAGAACCAAAAGUUGCAAGAGACCCAAUCAGCAAAGGCAAGUAUUUGACUGGAUCAAGCAAAUGAGAAUGUAUAUUUAGAAACUCACCCCAGAGGAAGAACUGUGGGUAAGCCUGCCUGCUCAUCUUUGCUGUAGGUCAGAGGGCACCCAGGCCACAUCCUCUUGUCCUAGGCCAGAUGAGGUCAUUUCCUUAUGUACCCAAGGCUGCCUACACCCAGCCACUGUUUCCUGUUUUGGGUCAGGAAGUACAGGUCACUCACUCCUCUUGUGACCUCAGGGUGGCUUUUCUCAUAAACCAGAGUUUUGUUUCCGUCACAGUUUAGAUCUAGAACAUGUCUUGGACUUGCCUGUGCCUUCUUCUCUGACCGAAAUCUUUGACAGCCACUGGGAAUUACAGCCCAGGAAUACUGAUUCCAAAUUAUGGAUUUACUGAGUUCCUUGGUCUUGUUUUCAAUGAACCCGUAGCCCCUUGCUUCCACCACUUCUGUCUCAUUAAUAAGUGUUAUUUCUAUAAAAGUGAUUCCACUUCACUAUAUUCAUAAAACACAAAUCCAUCUUUAGACUUAGUCUCAAAAAGUAUAAAUUUUGACAAAGAGUUUUGAAAGCAUUUUUUUUUCCUGUAGGAGUAGUGUAAUGUCAGCUCUCUGCCAUAUCUUAAGAUGUGGUAGGAAUGUGUGUACAGGUCUAUUUGUGACUUUUGGGUUUUGAUUUUUUUUGGUUGGUUGGUUUGUUUGGGGUGUUUUGUUUUGUUUUGUUUGUAGCAGGGACAGAAGGCACUGAAAUUUGUUGUUGGUAAAAACAAAAAAAACAGACUAUUUGUGUAAAAUUCCAUUUUCUUCCAGUUUAAAAAAAAACACAUUUAAAAGCUUUGUCAUUAGGGUUUUUUUUCCAUAGUGUUUUUUACUGACCUAUAAUAUACAUGUAAAAACAAACAAACAAACAAACAAAACACAUAAUAUCCUCAGUACAAGGUGUACAUAGCCUGUAAACAACUCCAAC
rnacentral:lncRNA from 1 species